GACCUGGAGGCUGUUGCAGAGUGUUGGUGCUGGACACAAAAGCACUCGGAGAAUAUCUCUGAUUCCCCAGGUCUCAGCAAUUCCUGGGGUUGUCCAGAUAUCAGGACAAGUAAACAAUGGGGUAAGAGCUGCUCUUUUUCCUUCUGUCUCUGUGAAAGCUUUUCCGAGGAGCUUCAGAAAGUGCAGGAGAGGAAGAGCUGGCUGUGGCAGCAGGAGGAAGAUGGAUCCUCCCCCAAACCCACUGAAUGCCAGCUCAGAUGCAAACCCUGCAACAACCUGGUGCUGUUUGGGACAGCUGAGAGUUUUCUGAGAGGCUGUAUACAGUAACCAGUUAUGGAAUGUGGUGUGGAGAGGGAUUUGAUGCUUUGAAAAGAGGAAAUUCCCCUCUCCCAGCGAAGGAAACGUGCUGUGCCUCAGAAGGCUCGAGGAGCAUUUGGCUGCUGUGAGCAGGAAGAGAAAAGCAUUUCAUUUUGAACUUGAAAGCAAAACUGGGUUUCAAGUGAACAGCAGAGCAGCAGUGUCACUGGCAAAGUCUGCAGCUCGGGUGAGCUGCA